UACGUAGGGCGCAAGCGUUAUCCGGAAUUAUUGGGCGUAAAGAGCUCGUAGGCGGUUUGUCGCGUCUGCUGUGAAAGACCGGGGCUCAACUCCGGUUCUGCAGUGGGUACGGGCAGACUAGAGUGCAGUAGGGGAGACUGGAAUUCCUGGUGUAGCGGUGAAAUGCGCAGAUAUCAGGAGGAACACCGGUGGCGAAGGCGGGAUCCUGGGCCAGUACUGACGCUGAGGAGCGAAAGCGUGGGGAGCAAACAGG
rnacentral:rRNA from 1 species